CAGCGAGGAGGCCACACCCGUUCCCAUCCCGAACACGGUCGUUAAGCUCCUCAGCGCCGAUGGUACUGCGUGAGUGAUUGCGUGGAAGAGUAGGUCGCCGCCGCCC
rnacentral:rRNA from 1 species